rnacentral:rRNA from 1 species
GACAGAGGCCCCGAGCGUUAGGCGGAAUCACUGGGCUUAAAGCGUGUGUAGGCGGACCCCUAAGUGUCUUGUGAAAUCCCACGGCUCACCCGUGGAACUGCUGGGCAUACUGGGGGUCUUGGGCCGUUCAGGGGCGACUGGAACAAGCGGUGGAGCGGUGAAAUGCGUAGAUAUCGCUUGGAACGCCGAAGGUGAAAACAGGUCGCUGGGGACGCGCCGACGCUGAGACACGAAAGCCAGGGGAGCAAACGGG